rnacentral:lncRNA from 1 species
UUUGUCCAAUCUGUCAGAACACCGUCGAAUUCCUCGUAGUCACCACACCUUUGUGAUUCCUGAACCUGGAGGGGCGCAAAACCAAAAUUGAGUGGGUCAGUAAAACAAUUCUUUUUCCAAAUCCAAACAUUUCUCAAAACGUUGUAACCCCUCUCCGUAAAACCUGUAUACUUUCCCAGAAAUGUAAAAUAUAAAUAUACAUAUAUAUUCUCAAGACUUCAAGUCGUUAACUCAACAUUUUCAUAACAAUUAUGCCAUGCCACAUCAUCUCAACAGUAAUAAGGUAUGAAUGCAUCAACAUAAUCAUAUCAGGUGCAAGAAAGUAAUCAACCGUAGGCCCUCUAAUAGCCCUGUACGGUUGAACCUAGAGCUCAAAAUCUAUCAUUAUCACUCUACCGGAGUCACCUCUGUGACCCGUCCGGCCUUCUGCACACAAGUUACGCUCUAGUGCUUCUCAUAAAUCAUCUGUGCACAUAAUCUAAGGUCACCCACCAGUCGGAAUCUCACUAACACUCUCGCGACUGGUCUGUCGUACCCACUCCGCGUGGACUGUACGACUAGCAUCUACUUGGAUCCAAGGCGAGCGUGCGAUGUGGUGAAUACUAUAAGCACUAAACCAUGGUGCAGGAUUUGAGCUCAAUAUAUAUCAUCAUCAUCAUAACAGUAAUUAAAUACUCAUCUGUGCGUCCACCGCACCAUUUCAUACAUAUGCAUCAUAAAUCAAUUCUUACCUGUGCGUCCACCGCACCAAUUCAUACAUAUGCAUCAUAAAUCAAUUCUUACCUGUGCGUCCACCGCACCAAUUCAUACAUAUGCAUCAUAAAUCAAUUCUUACAUGUGCGUCCACCGCACCAAUUCAUACAUAUGCAUCAUAUAUUAAUUCAUGCAUGGCAUUUCAACUCACAUUUCUAUAUACUUUUCAUAUCAAUUCUAUGCAUGGUAUUUCACUUCCCGUUUUUCCACAUAACUCAUAUGCAUUUCAUUUUAAACAUAUUUUCAUUUCAAUUCAAUUUCUGGGAAACGUCAAGUAUAUAUAUAUACGGAAAACAAAACUGCCCACUCACCUGGAGUUCGUCCAACAACUCCCUAGCACCACACAUCAAGGCGUCAUGACGAUCGCCGCCUAGAAUAGUAAUAGUAAUCAAAUCCAGGCUCAGAAUUCAUAUCGAUAGAAUACAUAACUUAUAUAAAAUACGUCACUACGUUGAUCGAUCCGGAAGAUCUGCCACUCAGAUUUUAAAUCCAUAACUUCCAGAGGUCCACAUUAUACCUCUAGGACAACAUCCUAAAAUUUCAUUACCAUCCAACGGUCGGAUCUCCGUCAAUUUCCAAAACUAAGUGACGGUUAACAUUUUAUAUUAUGGACUUACAAUUCCAAUUCCGGAAGAUCCGUAACUCGGAUUCCCAAUCCGUAAGUUCCAAUAAUCCUCAAAUAUUACGUAUUACAACGUAUCAAAUUUUGGUGACGAUCCAACGGUCGGAUCAUCAAUUCACAUUUUCACCUAAAUGUGAAAACUAUAAAACGUUAUUUGAACACCUAACCAACAAUCCUCAAUAACUUUCUCAUACGGUGUUCAAUUUAGGUAUAUGAAUAUACCACAGUGAUCUACUCGACGUCACGGACGUCGACAUAUUUUUAAAAUAAUUUUAUUUUUAUUUUUUAUUUUUACUGUAGCACCUUCUUCUUCCUUGGGUCGCCGGACUGGUUUUUCCGGCGGCCGUUUUCCGGGCAGUUUUUCAAAUUGCCAUAACUUUGUCAUUUCUCAACGAAAUCAAGUGAUUCAAAAACGAAAGUUGUAGCCCUUGAAGAGAAAAAGAGAAUGGUACCUUGCACAACACCUAGUUCGCCGUGGUUUGGCCGGAAACUUCCUCGAAAGCCUCGGAGGUCGCCGGAAACUGGGUAUUUUUCAAAUGAGUAUAACUUCUUCAAUACUCAACGAAAUUGAGUGAAACAAAAAGGAAAGUUGUAGUACUUGACGAGACGAAGAGAUUGAUACCUACCUCGACUCCUAACUCGCCGGGUAUUCGCCGGAAAACGCCUCGAAAGCUCCGGCCAAACUUUGAACUUGUCGAUCUCCGUGUUCUUACGUCCAAAAACUUCCAACGAAGCACUCCGAGCUUCCUUGGGACCUUACUAAACUCGCUGUGAUCUUGUUUUAGCCUAAAACGUAACCAAUUCAAAGCUCAUGAACAGUGUCAUCUCACGGCAACUUUAGAACUAGGGUUUUCGAAGUGAAACUCACCUGAAAUUGGUAUCCCCGUGCUCGUGAAGUCCCCAGGAUCACGAUGGUGGUCUUAAAUGGAACGUUGGUACAAGAUUGUGGUGGUUCUUGGUGGUUGCCGUGAGUUCGAGAGUAAGAGAGAGAAUGAGAGAGUUUCAGAAAAGAAUAAGAGAGAGAGAGAGUCUGGAAUGAAAGAAGAAGAGAGAAGAAAGGUUACGGGUUUUAGGGAGGGAAUUCAGGGUAGGAGGCCCUACCUAAGUCCAAGCACAAAUUAACACAUACAAAUAUAAAUCUAACCCUAGUUUAGGAUCUUAAAGUAAAACAAAUGUCAUACAUUUACACACCUUAAUCCCGUUUAAGGUCACAUUGGUCAUCUCACGUCCUCGGAAUUAAUAAUUCCGGGACGGGCUGUGACAAUCUCCCCUCCUUAUAGAAUUUCGUCCCCGAAAUUCCAAUCACCAACCAGAACAUCAAAACUCAUAAAAUAGUCUCGGAUACAUAACUCUCAUCCGUUCUUCUGUCUCCCAUGUAAUUUUCUACUGAAUGAUUUCCUUCACAAAGCUUUUACUACUUACUCUGUCUUAAUUCUUAGGACCUUCUUUUUCCAAUCCAAAGUCGACAUUAGUUCCUCACCAAUCAGAUCCGGCUUAAUUCUCAAUAGUUGCACCAAAGUCCCAUGUAACGACUCUGCCACUUAGUGACAACGCAUCGAACACAAAAUACAUUAUGUGCCUUAGCCAAUUCUGAAGGCAUCACAAACUUGUAUGCAAGUUUAUUGAUUCCUUUAGUGAAAAAAAAAAAUGGUCUGAUGUGUCUAAAUCUUAUCUUGUCUCUUUUCCAAUUCUCGUCAUUUCUGUUCGCGGUGAAUUUUCCAAAAAUAUCAAACCAUUUACCUUACACACUCGAUUAGUGGCAUAUCCAUCUGUUGAUCUCUUUUUGCCAUUCCUGGUUACUUCAGGUUAACUUAAUCACCUGAAUACUUUGAGGAGACUCAUCCAUAGUCUCAGGGUCUACUAAAACUCUUUCUUGAUCGAAUCUUUCUCUACCCAGAAACAUUCCAUUCACAAGUCAUCAAAAACCGACUCACGUGACACAUUUCAUGGUCCUUAUGGCGUUACUUCGGAAACUGCACAACCAACAUACUUAAGAAACUUAGCAGUUCCGUAAUCCAAUUCUCUUUUCCAUAAAACAAAUUAGUAAUGUUGCACUGUCUGGGAAAGGUUGUUACUCAACACUGGAGUAAAUGUACUAACUUGUUACUUAACAAGUAUAACUUCUUCUCGAUCUUCCAUUCUUAACUUUACUUUAGUUGGUUUCCAAUCCACAAGAAGAUAAUCUUGGCAAACGUGCCAGACAUUAAUCUUACUGUAGUCUUCUCGCCAAGUGCUUGAGCUAGAACAAACUUUACGAUCACCCUGAUCGUACAAUCAUGUUCAUUAAACAAUACAAUUCACUUUCGCUGCCUCAUAUCAAAUUCCUUCCAAGUAAUGGAUAUUGAAGACUUUUUGGAUUCGUAAAAAAAAAUCUUGCAUUCCCACUAAAAUAUAAUGUCUCCAUAACUUCACAGCACGAAUGGUAAUCGUGACUUCCAAAUCACCAGUAGGGUAAUUCAUCUUAUGAGAUUCCAUUUAUCGUGAAACGUAUGCAAUCACCCUAACAUUUGCAUCAACAUGCAUCCAAUACCAUUCAAGAAACAUCACUAAAAAUUUAUGAUUACCAUUAUUCUCUGGGAUUACCAAAAUACGUGCAUGAGUGAGGAAAUACUUCAGUUGUUGAAUCCUUUGCUUACAAUUCCUUCCCACUCAUACCUAACCUCUUUUCUCAACAGUCUCGUCAAUGACAAAGCAAUGACUGAAAAAUCUUUCACAACCAUCCAAGAUAGCCUGGUAAGCUAAGAAAUUCCAAAUCUCAAUUACGACUCGUGGUUGUUCCAAAUUUUAAUUUCUGUUACCUUUUAAGGAUUCACUUGAAUACCUUAAGAAUAUAUAACAUAUCCCAGAAAUGCUGCUUGAUUCAUCCAACAUUCGCAUUUGCUAAACUUAGCAUACAACCAACGUUCUCUUAAUCUUUGCUUCACCGACUUAAUACGUUUACAUGCUCUGCUCUAGGCUUAGAGUAUACCAGAAUAUCUUCAAUGAAAAUGAUAUCUAUUUAUCAAGGCAUUAUUGGAAUACUUCAUCCAAUAACUCAUAAAACAGCAUGAGUAUCCAUAUAGCAUCACCAAACUUCAUAAAGACUAUAACGAGUCCAGAAAACCAUCUUAUGAUCAAUGUCACUUAUAAUAUUCAAUUGGUAGUAACCAGAUCUCAAUUCAAUCUUUGAAUCUUCGCAAUUACUUCUGAGCUGGUUAAAUAAACAUCAGUACAUCACCAUGGAUAACGGUUCUCAAUCGUUACCCGACUCCAUUGUCUAUAAUCAAUGAACAGUCUCAAGAUCCAUUUUCUUCCUCACCAACAAACUGGGGCUCCUCAAAAGUGUUGUACUAGGUUGAAUAAAACUUUUAUCAACCAAUUCCCUCAACUGAAUUUCCAAUUCCCUUAACUCAUCAUGAACCAAUCUCCAAUAUAAAUUUAUACCUGGCAACAAAUCAAUAGUGAACCUCAUAUCUCUGCCUGAAGGCAAUCCAGGUAUACUUUCAGGGAAGACAUCAAGAAAAGUCUAACUCUUUCGACAUUAUUCACACUACUCCAAACAACAUCAUUUAGCACCACAUGAGCUAAGUAUUUUUGACAGCCUUUCGAAAACAAUCUCUUUGCUCUCACAACAUAAAUAAUGGCUGAACUCAAUCCAUUUUGCAUACUUACAAAAGUAAUCUCUGUUCAUCCAGAUCGAUGGAAAGUACUGGUUUCCCAUAACAUUUCGUCUUGUCACAAUUAUAACCAACCAAUCUAAUGGAAAUAAUUUAACCGACACAAUACAUACUCUAUUACUACUAAGCAUUCUGAAUAAGUACAAAAUAAUCUACCGGUUUACUUACUUAACGAAUCCACGAAUGAGUUAUUAAUAUUACGGUCUGCAGCCCGCAAUACUGAUAAAUCAUCGUUGUCUCGAUAAGUAGGCAACCACUCUCAAAGAUAUAACAUUACUAUUUUGUCACUCAAUGCAAAAUACAUACACUCAUCUCAACUACAUUUAUUUACUACUCUCAAGGUAAUAACAUACAUAAUAAGAAAUAUAUCAGCCGAAGUCAACUAGAAUGAUCAAUACGACUGAUUCAACUCUUAUCUCAAUAAUACGUCGGCCGGAUCCACUCCGCGUGGUCGGUACGGCCGAGCCUAUAACUCACAAAUUUCGCAUGUGUCAAUCGAAUCCACUUCUCGUGGCCUGUACGGCUGAACAUAUAACUCAUCAAAUUUCUCUGUACUCACAGUCAAUCCGACCAAACUACUAAGUUUAUAACUCUUCUGAAUCGACACUAUGAUAUCAUGGAAAAUUAUUGAGUACAACUGAUUCUAGGGACGAUUCACAAUUCUGUGUCCCCUCUGUUCACAUAAACACAUUCAUUAAUUUCACACUUCCCAAAGUGUUAAUUUUUGUACCUGCAGCACAAGGUACAUUUCCUUUACUCGAGACACCUUGUCUCAAAUAUCUGGGAUUACCAGUAUAUCCAUCACUUUUAUUCUGACCAGCGACAUUAAAACCUCAGCUGGAAAAAUUAACUCUAGCUUCACUUCUUUCGAAGCUCUGAAUCUUUCUAUAUCCUUGAUAUGACGAAUCAUUAACUUUAUCGUCUUCUUUUAAUUCCUAUUCUUUUCUUAUUCUUCUUUAUUCUCGUUGCUCAUGUUCUCAGAGUCCUCAAGAUUCAACAACAUCUAGCAUACUCCUGAUAAGAACUACAAUGGAUAGUGGUCACCCAAAAUACCACUUCCCUUUUGUCACCCAGCUUAAAACAACAUAACACCUCCACCAAAUUAACAACAAUAUCUGGAUGGAACGAGGCUAGUCUGAAAACUUUCUAUAAUAUCCCUCGAUCAUCACCUUCCUUGUCUCAUAUUUGUAAAUUCUUGUUUACUACCAUCGAUAAAUGCCGGAGGGAUAAACUUUUCCUUUAAACAAGUCCUUAAACAAUUCUCAAUCGACUGAUUCCUCUGGUGACAACAAUUCAUACUCCUGUUUCCACCAGGAUACAAAUUCAUAACCAAAACCAGGUAGUCGUCUCGACCCCCUGUCAGAAGGAAAUUUCCUUUGACUUGCAUAAUCUGAAACAUCUUUUCCAAAUGGUUAAACCGUUACUUCGCUCUCUCAGGUUCAUCAUUUCAUAAGGUGAUUCAAGUUCAACUCAUUACCCAUCUUAAAAUGUCCCUUUAGACAAUAGACUGAAUCACCAUAGUAAUAGUUUCCCCCUAAACCGCUAAAUCAGGGAGACUAAGUUCCUCUAACUACGUGGCUUGCUACGAGGCGGUGUAGUUCUGACAGAAUUCACUAGAACUUCUCAAGAUGUCCAAGAUUGCAACCAUGCUCUGAUACCAACUGACACACCCCGUCCCGAAGGAGGGCAUGCUGGCCGUCACGUGAGAGUGACGUAACCAUUUGCACAGUACGGAAGCUUUAAGAUACAAUUUAUAAGUUGAUACACCCGAAGGUGAGUCCUAAUUUUGUCCAAUCUGUCAGAACACCGUCGAAUUCCUCGUAGUCACCACACCUUUGUGAUUCCUGAACCUGGAGGGGCGCAAAACCAAAAUUGAGUGGGUCAGUAAAACAAUUCUUUUUCCAAAUCCAAACAUUUCUCAAAACGUUGUAACCCCUCUCCGUAAAACCUGUAUACUUUCCCAGAAAUGUAAAAUAUAAAUAUACAUAUAUAUUCUCAAGACUUCAAGUCGUUAACUCAACAUUUUCAUAACAAUUAUGCCAUGCCACACAUCAUCUCAACAGUAAUAAGGUAUGAAUGCAUCAACAUAAUCAUAUCAGGUGCAAGAAAGUAAUCAACCGUAGGCCCUCUAAUAGCCCUGUACGGUUGAACCUAGAGCUCAAAAUCUAUCAUUAUCACUCUACCGGAGUCACCUCUGUGACCCGUCCGGCCUUCUGCACACAAGUUACGCUCUAGUGCUUCUCAUAAAUCAUCUGUGCACAUAAUCUAAGGUCACCCACCAGUCGGAAUCUCACUAACACUCUCGCGACUGGUCUGUCGUACCCACUCCGCGUGGACUGUACGACUAGCAUCUACUUGGAUCCAAGGCGAGCGUGCGAUGCGGUGAAUACUAUAAGCACUAAACCAUGGUGCAGGAUUUGAGCUCAAUAUAUAUCAUCAUCAUCAUAACAGUAAUUAAAUACUCAUCUGUGCGUCCACCGCACCAUUUCAUACAUAUGCAUCAUAAAUCAAUUCUUACCUGUGCGUCCACCGCACCAAUUCAUACAUAUGCAUCAUAAAUCAAUUCUUACCUGUGCGUCCACCGCACCAAUUCAUACAUAUGCAUCAUAAAUCAAUUCUUACAUGUGCGUCCACCGCACCAAUUCAUACAUAUGCAUCAUAUAUUAAUUCAUGCAUGGCAUUUCAACUCACAUUUCUAUAUACUUUUCAUAUCAAUUCUAUGCAUGGUAUUUCACUUCCCGUUUUUCCACAUAACUCAUAUGCAUUUCAUUUUAAACAUAUUUUCAUUUCAAUUCAAUUUCUGGGAAACGUCAAGUAUAUAUAUAUACGGAAAACAAAACUGCCCACUCACCUGGAGUUCGUCCAACAACUCCCUAGCACCACACAUCAAGGCGUCAUGACGAUCGCCGCCUAGAAUAGUAAUCAAAUCCAGGCUCAGAAUUCAUAUCGAUAGAAUACAUAACUUAUAUAAAAUACGUCACUACGUUGAUCGAUCCGGAAGAUCUGCCACUCAGAUUUUUAAAUCCAUAACUUCCAGAGGUCCACAUUAUACCUCUAGGACAACAUCCUAAAAUUUCAUUACCAUCCAACGGUCGGAUCUCCGUCAAUUUCCAAAACUAAGUGACGGUUAACAUUUUAUAUUAUGGACUUACAAUUCCAAUUCCGGAAGAUCCGUAACUCGGAUUCCCAAUCCGUAAGUUCCAAUAAUCCUCAAAUAUUACGUAUUACAACGUAUCAAAUUUUGGUGACGAUCCAACGGUCGGAUCAUCAAUUCACAUUUUCACCUAAAUGUGAAAACUAUAAAACGUUAUUUGAACACCUAACCAACAAUCCUCAAUAACUUUCUCAUACGGUGUUCAAUUUAGGUAUAUGAAUAUACCACAGUGAUCUACUCGACGUCACGGACGUCGACAUAUUUUUAAAAAUAAUUUUAUUUUUAUUUUUUAUUUUUACUGUAGCACCUUCUUCUUCCUUGGGUCGCCGGACUGGUUUUUCCGGCGGCCGUUUUCCGGGCAGUUUUUUCAAAUUGCCAUAACUUUGUCAUUUCUCAACGAAAUCAAGUGAUUCAAAAACGAAAGUUGUAGCCCUUGAAGAGAAAAAGAGAAUGGUACCUUGCACAACACCUAGUUCGCCGUGGUUUGGCCGGAAACUUCCUCGAAAGCCUCGGAGGUCGCCGGAAACUGGGUAUUUUUCAAAUGAGUAUAACUUCUUCAAUACUCAACGAAAUUGAGUGAAACAAAAAGGAAAGUUGUAGUACUUGACGAGACGAAGAGAUUGAUACCUACCUCGACUCCUAACUCGCCGGGUAUUCGCCGGAAAACGCCUCGAAAGCUCCGGCCAAACUUUGAACUUGUCGAUCUCCGUGUUCUUACGUCCAAAAACUUCCAACGAAGCACUCCGAGCUUCCUUGGGACCUUACUAAACUCGCUGUGAUCUUGUUUUAGCCUAAAACGUAACCAAUUCAAAGCUCAUGAACAGUGUCAUCUCACGGCAACUUUAGAACUAGGGUUUUCGAAGUGAAACUCACCUGAAAUUGGUAUCCCCGUGCUCGUGAAGUCCCCAGGAUCACGAUGGUGGUCUUAAAUGGAACGUUGGUACAAGAUUGUGGUGGUUCUUGGUGGUUGCCGUGAGUUCGAGAGUAAGAGAGAGAAUGAGAGAGUUUUCAGAAAAGAAUAAGAGAGAGAGAGAGUCUGGAAUGAAAGAAGAAGAGAGAAGAAAGGUUACGGGUUUUAGGGAGGGAAUUCAGGGUAGGAGGCCCUACCUAAGUCCAAGCACAAAUUAACACAUACAAAUAUAAAUCUAACCCUAGUUUAGGAUCUUAAAGUAAAACAAAUGUCAUACAUUUACACAC